UUGAUCCUGGCUCACGAUGAACGCUAGCGGGAUGCUUAACACAUGCAAGUCGAACGACCCUUCGGGGGAGUGGCAAACGGGCGAGUAACGCGUACUUAACCUACCCAGAAGUUGGGAACAACUACGGAGACGUAGCUAAUUCCCAAUGUUCCCUGCACUAUGAAAAAAUGCAGGGCAAAGAUUUAUCGCUUUUGGAGGGGGGUGCGUCCUAUCAGGUAGUUGGUGUGGUAAUAGCUCACCAAGCCUAUGACGGGUAGCCGGUCUGAAAGGAUGUCCGGCCGCAAUGGAACUGAGACACGGUCCAUACUCCUACGGGAGGCAGCAGUGGGGAAUCUUGCGCAAUGGGCGAAAGCCUGACGCAGCAAUCCCGCGUGAAGGAUGAAGCAUUAUGGUGUGUAAACUUCUUUUCUGGUGGAAGACGAAUGACGGUACACCAGGAAUAAGGGACGGCUAACUACGUGCCAGCAGCCGCGGUAAUACGUAGGUCCCAAGUGUUAUCCGGAAUUACUGGGCGUAAAGAGUCUGUAGCCGGGUUUGUAAGUCUGUUUUCAAAUCCUAUGGCUUAACCAUAGAGAGGGAAUGGAUACUGCAAACCUUGAGAUUAUUGGGGGUUGAUGGAAUUUCCGGUGGAGCGGUGAAAUGCGUUGAUAUCGGAAGGAACGCCAAAAGUGAAAGCAGUCAACUACAAUAAAUCUGACGGUCAGAGACGAAAGCUUGGGGAGCAAACGGGAUUAGAUACCCCGGUAGUCCAAGCCGUAAAUUAUGCAUGCUAGGUGUCUUGUUCACUUUAUGUGAGCGGGGUGCCGUAAUCUAACGAGUUAAGCAUGCCGCCUGGGUAGUAUAUUCGCAAGACUGAAACUCAAAGGGAUAGGCGGGGG
rnacentral:rRNA from 1 species